CAUUUCCACGGAUUUCCGUGACGCAGCUAACGCAUUUAAGUUUCCCCGCCUGGGGAGUACGGCCGCAAGGCUAAAACUCAAAGGAAUUGACGGGGACCCGCACAAGCGGCGGAGCAUGCGGAUUAAUUCGAUGCAACGCGAAGAACCUUACCAAGGCUUGACAUAUACGAGAACGGGCCAGAAAUGGUCAACUCUUUGGACACUCGUAAACAGGUGGUGCAUGGUUGUCGUCAGCUCGUGUCGUGAGAUGUUGGGUUAAGUCCCGCAACGAGCGCAACCCUCGUUCUAUGUUGCCAGCACGUAAUGGUGGGAACUCAUGGGAUACUGCCGGGGUCAACUCGGAGGAAGGUGGGGAUGACGUCAAAUCAUCAUGCCCCUUAUGUCUUGGGCUUCACGCAUGCUACAAUGGCCGGUACAAUGGGCUGCAAUACCGUGAGGUGGAGCGAAUCCCAAAAAGCCGGUCCCAGUUCGGAUUGAGGUCUGCAACUCGACCUCAUGAAGUCGGAGUCGCUAGUAAUCGCAGAUCAGCAACGCUGCGGUGAAUACGUUCCCGGGUCUUGUACACACCGCCCGUCAAGUCAUGAAAGUCGGUAACACCUGAAGCCGGUGGCCUAACCCCUCGGGGAGGGAGCUGUCGAAGGUGGGAUCGGUAAUUAGGACU
rnacentral:rRNA from 1 species